GUAAAGCUUUGGGGGUUUGGGAUGGGCCUGCGUCCUAUCACGUAGUGGGUGAGGUAAGUGCUCACCAAGCCUAUGACGGGUAGCUGGUCUGAGAGGAUGGUCAGCCAGACUGGGACUGCGACACGGCCCAGACUCCUACGGGAGGCAGCAACUAGGAAUUGUGCGCAAUGGACGAAAGUCUGACGCCGCGACAUCGCGUGGAGGAUGAAGGUCUCCGGAUUGUAAACUCCUUUUCUUAGCGAACAAAGUCUGAGUGUAGGUAAGGAAUAAGUGCCUGCUAACCAACGUGCCAGAAGCCUCCGUAAUACGUGGGGCACGAGCGUUAUCCGGAUUUACUGGGCGUAAAGAGACGCGUAGGCGGCUCGGAUAAGUUUGGUGUUAAAUCUUCCGGCUCAACCGGAAAGAAGUACCUGAAAACUAUCCGAGAUUGAACUCGAGUAGGGGAAAGAGGGGAAUCCCUGGUGGAGCGGUAAAUGCGUACAUAUCAGGAGGAAUUACCAAGGGCGAAGGCACCUCGUGGGACUCGUACUGACGCUGAGGCUCGAAAGCGUGGGUAGCAAAACGGAGUAGAUACCCGUGUAGUCCACGCCGUAAACGAUCCCUGUUAGAUGUAUGUUUUGUC
rnacentral:rRNA from 1 species